rnacentral:rRNA from 1 species
GACGAACGCUGGCGGCGUGCUUAAUACAUGCAAGUGGAGCGACGAACCAGGCUUCGGCCUGGGGCAGAGCCGCGAACGGGUGAGUAACACGUGGGUAACCUGCCUCGAUGACCGGGACAACCCGGGGAAACCCGGGCUAAUACCGGGAUGUGCUGUCCCCACAUCAGUGGAGACAGGAAAGGAAGCUUCGGCCUCCGCAUCGAGAUGGGCCCGCGGCCCAUUAGCUUGUUGGUGUGGUAACGGCNCACCAAGGCUGCGAUGGGUAGCUGGUCUGAGAGGACGAUCAGCCACACUGGGACUGAGACACGGCCCAGACUCCUACGGGAGGCAGCAGUAGGGAAUCUUGCGCAAUGCGCGAAAGCGUGACGCAGCAACGCCGCGUGGGGGAAGAAGGCC